GACGAACGUUGGCGGCGUGCUUAAUACAUGCAAGUCCACUGAAGCAGUGGUAGCAAUAUCGCUGUGGAGGUGGCGCACGGGUGAGUAACACGUAGGUAAUCUGCCUUCAGGUCUGGCAUAACUCCGGGAAACCGGGGCUAAUAGCAGAUGAUGCAGCGGCUCGACAUCGAGACAGUUGUUAAAGCUAUGGCGCCUGAAGAUGAGCCUGCGUCUGAUUAGCUAGUUGGCGGGGUAACGGCCCACCAAGGCAACGAUCAGUAGCUGGUCUGAGAGGAUGAUCAGCCACACUGGAACUGGGACACGGUCCAGACUCCUACGGGAGGCAGCAGUAAGGAAUAUUGCUCAAUGGGAGAAAUCCUGAAGCAGCAACGCCGCGUGAGGGACGAAGGGCUUUUGCUUGUAAACCUCUGUAGUGAGAGAAAAAAAUCCCAAUCUUUGGGACAUGAUGGUAUCUCAAAAGUAAGCCCCGGCUAACUACGUG
rnacentral:rRNA from 1 species